CGCUGAACUUAAGCAUAUCACUAAGCGGAGGAAAAGAAACUAACAAGGAUUCCCUUAGUAACGGCGAGUGAACAGGGAUGAGCCCAGCACCGAAGCCU
rnacentral:rRNA from 1 species